ACGUAGGGUGCAAACGUUAUCCGGAAUUAUUGGGCGUAAAGAGUUCGUAGGUGGUAUUAUCAGUCAGGUAUUAAAGACCUCGGCUCAACCGAGGAAUCGUAUUUGAUACUGUAAUACUUGAGGUUUGCAGGGGCGGAUGGAAUUCAUGGUGUAGCAGUGAAAUGCGUAGAUAUCAUGAAGAACACCAAUGGCGAAGGCAGUCCGCUGGGCAACACCUGACACUGAGGAACGAAAGCGUGGGUAGCGAACGG
rnacentral:rRNA from 1 species